ACCCGAAUAGUCCAAUGAGCUCAAAAGUUUUAUAAUCACUGAACUCAAAAGUAACAAACAAGUUGAGUCAGCUUAAAACCUAUAAGCCGAUUCAACUUUUGCCACAGUUAUAUGUUUAUUGGACUAAAACAUUUUGAGUAAAUGAAACCUUGGAGUCAAAACUUAUGAGUAAUGAGACGUGAUGAUGUCAUAACGUACGCCCAUGAACGUGAACUCAGCCACAGAAGUCUUCAAGAUGGCGGAGGUCUGAUGCGAGUGUCAGCUGGCCCAAGUUGAUAACGCACAUACGUCUAGUGAACCGGCGGUGCGUUUGAAAAAUAAGAGCGGAGACAGACGCAGAGGAUGCUGAUCUUUUUGAGAGAGAAGGCAGCACGAACCGGAAGGCUCUAUGCGACUUUCUGCACCUCUAUGAUAAACAGCAAGAGCAGACUGCUGAUGUCAAUGGUACUCCUGUCCUGUACUGGCUUCCCAUAUACAAACGUGAGGAGGACCCACAGUUCUUCAAAGUUUGGAAUAUUAAAGAGUCACCAGAGGCAGACAUCAGCAACACCUCUGUUGGCAUUCUGACCGUCAGCAACAACAAUACAAGUUCAGUGCAUUUCUGUCCGCUCAGUAGAGCAGUUGUGGUGGAAGAUGAGCUUGUGGUAGGCAAAUUUCCUAAAUGGGUAUUUUUUUGAGCGCUAAUGUUUAUAGGGAAAUGGCAGCCUAAGAAAAUACAGUUUUAUGUGGGAAAAGUAUAAAAAAAAAGGCUGAUAAACAAUUUUUGCUUUUCUUGAAAUGUAAGAAUGCUCUUUUUUUAUGAAGUUGUAUAAGGAAAUGGUGUUAAAAAGAUUAGUGCUCAUUUUUUGCUUUUCUUGAAGACUGAUUUAUUUAUUUUUUAUGGCUUGUGCACUUUUUCUUAACACAAAUUGUGCUUUGUUUUACCUUUUUGUAGUACCACAAGUUGUUCAAAUGUACUUGUGUAAGGUGGUUUAAAAAUAAACUUGCAAUUACAA